UACGUAGGGACCAAGCGUUGUCCGGAUUUAUUGGGCGUAAAGAGCGUGUAGGCGGCCAGGUAGGUCUGGUGUGAAAACUCGAGGCUUAACCUCGAGAUGUCAUCGGAAACCAUCUGGCUAGAGUCCGGAAGAGGAGAGUGGAAUUCCUGGUGUAGCGGUGAAAUGCGCAGAUAUCAGGAAGAACACCAAUGGCGAAAGCAGCUCUCUGGGACGGUACUGACGCUGAGACGCGAAAGCGUGGGGAGCGAACAGG
rnacentral:rRNA from 1 species